rnacentral:rRNA from 1 species
GACGAACGCUGGCGGCGUGCCUAAUACAUGCAAGUUGAGCGCUGAAGGUUGGUACUUGUACCAACUGGAUGAGCAGCGAACGGGUGAGUAACGCGUGGGGAAUCUGCCUUUGAGCGGGGGACAACAUUUGGAAACGAAUGCUAAUACCGCAUAAAAACUUUAAACACAAGUUUUAAGUUUGAAAGAUGCAAUUGCAUCACUCAAAGAUGAUCCCGCAUUGUAUUAGCUAGUUGGUGAGGUAAAGGCUCACCAAGGCGAUGAUACAUAGCCGACCUGAGAGGGUGAUCGGCCACAUUGGGACUGAGACACGGCCCAAACUCCUACGGGAGGCAGCAGUAGGGAAUCUUCGGCAAUGGACGAAAGUCUGACCGAGCAACGCCGCGUGAGUGAAGAAGGGUUUCGGAUCGUAAAACUCUGUUGGUAGAGAAGAACGUUGGUGAGAGUGGAAAGCUCAUCAAGUGACGGUAACUACCCAGAAAGGGACGGCUAACUACGUG